rnacentral:rRNA from 1 species
GUGGGGAAUAUUGGACAAUGGGCGAAAGCCUGAUCCAGCCAUGCCGCGUGUGUGAAGAAGGUCUUCGGAUUGUAAAGCACUUUAAGUUGGGAGGAAGGGCAGUAAGUUAAUACCUUGCUGUUUUGACGUUACCAACAGAAUAAGCACCGGCUAACUUCGUGCCAGCAGCCGCGGUAAUACGAAGGGUGCAAGCGUUAAUCGGAAUUACUGGGCGUAAAGCGCGCGUAGGUGGUUUUGUGAGUUGGAGGUGAAAUCCCCGGGCUCAACCUGGGAACUGCCUCCAAAACUGCAUGACUAGAGUACGGUAGAGGGUAGUGGAAUUUCCUGUGUAGCGGUGAAAUGCGUAGAUAUAGGAAGGAACACCAGUGGCGAAGGCGACUACCUGGACUGAUACUGACACUGAGGUGCGAAAGCGUGGGGAGCAAACAGGAUUAGAAACCCUGGUAGUCC